CAAGUUCUGCUGUGGAGACUGAAUGGUCCAGGAUGCCUUCACUUACUGAUAGUGGCGAGGCUGUUGGUCUCAAGUGGCCUCAGCUGGGUGCUAUAAUCUCUUACCUGGAUUCUUUAGCCCUUGUGAAAAUAUUGUCAUGUGUGGAUAGUUGUUCAAAUUGAUGUUUUGGAAGGCGACAAGUAUCACUCUCCCUGUAUUGCUUCAUAGAGGUUUAGGUAUCAAGGAGGUCUGUAUGGCAUGUCUAAUACCUUGGAAGAAAAUUGCCCUGUGUACUAAAAGAAAACAAAGAUUCAAUUCCUGCUGUAUCAUAAAAGUCUAAAGAUGCAUCUUCUACAACCCUAGGAACAUUCCAGCAAACCUGUCCAAAAUGUGCACCAGAAGGAGACAUUGUCUUAAUUACACUUGAUAAUUUUAAUAUCAAAAUUCAACCAAAUAAAAUACAGCAGUAUGACAGGUAAGAUGCAGUGAUAUGGCAAAGCCUUGUAAACUAGGCAAGAUAGAACCAACAAGUGGGGAAUGAGACACAAAAUCUUGUGGAGCACCCGAUUCUGUUGCUGUUCAUGGCGCCACUAUGUAACACACACAGACCUAGGGGGACUGAACAAUGGUGGGCGAAUGCGGGAAUAAAAGACAAGAGACAAAAAGAGUAUAUAUGGAAUAAGGGGUCAGCGGACAUCUUGCCUCUAGUGGACAAGGGCCCUGAGCUUUACACAGCCCUCCAUAUUCAUUAGGCAAAAGAGAUAGCAAGAAGGAGGGUAGAAGAAGAGGUCAGCUGCUCCAUCCACAGUAGGGUUGCAAGACUGCAUUCUCUAGAUGUCCCAGUAGAUAACAUUAAGGAGCUUGGCGCCAGGAACUGGUUGCCCUUAGCAAAUCUCCUGGCAGUGGGAGCAGUCGUGAGGUUGCCCACAUCCUGCAUUCAUGAUAAACAGUUUGUUGUUUGAUCAUAGAGCCUCCAGUGGAAUGCUGAGAGGGUCAUGUCCCAGGGGCCUUCAGCUCCCCACAAAAUUUUAAAUGAGAUCUUGAAGUCCAAACCCCUGAAAUCCUUUCUGGGACCAAAAAAUAAAGACUUAACAUAUAAUAAAGCAAAAAUCCAGGAACAGGGAAAGUAUUGAAUCAGUAGAGAAGUUGGGGGUGGCAAUCAGAGGGUCUUGGGCAGUUACUACAGGUGAUGUUGCCAUGUGCUUAGUCCACCUAAUUGGUUACCAGGUAUAUUGGUCAGGAUCCUCUAGAGAAACUGAGUCAAUCGGAGAUAGAUGAUAGAUAGAUACAUAGAUAGAUAGUCAGAUAGAUAGAUUAGAUAGGUACAUUAGAUAGAUAGACAUAAAUAAGAGGGAAUUUAUUAGGGAAUUGAUUUACACAAUUAGGGAGGCUGAGAAGUCCCUUGAUAGACCAUCUGCCAGCUCAGAAACCAAGGAAGCCAAUAGCAUGGCUCCAUCUAAAUCCAAAGGUCUAAGAACCAAGGGAGCCACUGGUGUAACUCUCAGUAGGAAGCCAGAGCCCAAGGAGGGGCCACUAGUGCAAGUUCCAGUGGACCAAGGCCAGAGAACCUAGAGUUCUGAUGUCCAAGAGCAGGAAAGGAGUGUCACAGAUCCAGGAGAGAGAGAGAAUUCAGCUUUUCUUGACCUUGUUGUUCUAUCCAGGCCUUCAGCCAACUAGAUGGUGCCCAGUCCCACUGGGUAAGGGUAGAUCAUCCUUACUCAGUCCACUGAUUCAAAUGCCCAUCUCUUCCAGAAACACCCUCACAGACAUGCCCAGAUAUAAUGCAUUACUAGAUAUCUGGGUAUCCUCUAAUCCAUUCAAGCUGACACUUAAAAUUAACCCUUACAGCAGGUGUGUCAGAUAGGCAUAAAAGUAUAGGUUGAGACAAAUAGUCUUUACCUGUCAGCUACCCUUUUAAAGGCCUCAUCUGUACUUUUGGGUUGUAAUGGUGAAAAGCUAUCAUUGAAAGACUUGAAAUAUAAUCAAAAUUGUAAAAUGUUAACACAAAAGUAUAUUAGUGUGCUAAGGCUGCCAUAACAGAAUACCACAGACUGGGUGACUUAAACAACACAAAUUUAUUUUCUCAUAGUUCUGGAGGCUGCAAGUCUGAGAUCAAGGUGCUGGCAGGGUUGGUUUCUGGUGAGGCCUCUCUCCUUGGCUUGCAGAUGGCUACCUUCUCCCUGUGUUCUCACUUAGUCUUUUCUCUGUACUUUCACCUUCUUGUUCUCUCUCUCUUCUUACAAGGACACAAAUCAUAUUGGAUUGGGGCCCCACUCUUACAAUCUCAUUUAACCUUAAUUACCUCCUCAAAAGUCCUAUCUGCAAGUAUAGUCACAUGGUGGGAUGGCAGGUAGGGCUUCCACAUAUGAAGAUGAGGGGUGUUCAAUUCAAUCCAAAACACAGAACUAACUUCUGGAUUCACAGAGGAAUUUCCAGUAAAUAUAACUGGGGUCUAAGAUGAAGGAUGAUUUCCACCCAUCUUCCCUCUACAUAUAACCCUUUCCACACUCCCGUUAUCUGAAGGGAAAGACAUUGGCCCACUAUUUCACAUCAUUUUCUACAUAGGUGGAUUUCAGUUGUUUAUUUGAAGAAUAUUACUGUAGACCAGAAUUUUUGUUGCUUCAAACCACCUUUGAAGCAACAUAGGUACUUACAAUCACCCGCCUUUUCAGCGAUAGUUACAACGUCCUCACUAGGACAGGGGUCGGUGCCUCCCACGGUCUAUGGGCGCAUCCAAAGCCACCAUGCCCUUCACAACCAGGUGCCAGCUCAGUGCUCUGUUGCUGCUUGACUAGGAAUACUUAUUGCCCUAGUCAUUAUAUUUUAUGUCCUCAAAAAAUGAAGUUUUUUUUCCUGACCCCCUAUAUACACAACUUUUCUUAGGUGACACGUCAGCCUCCCACUAACAGUAAGUAUCCCCCUUACACAGCAUUAAAAAACUCAGCUAAAUGUUGGGAACACCUCACAGUGGUGCAAGGUUGUCUCAGAGCUGGCCCUCUCCUGAGAGCUUGAGCACAUUAAAGUUCCUUAGUAAUCCACCCUAGCCACCAUUUCUGGCGUGACAACAUGGCCAGAGGCAAAAUAUUUAUGAUUUAAAAGAAAAUUUUCUCAGGUAAGAAGUGGGAAGAGACGAGUCUGGAAAAACCACUUGAGGGGUAAUCUCUGAAGUGUAUAGUAGUUCAUCUGUUAUUGCUGGUAAAAAGCAGGCGGGUAGGAAGAAAUAAACUACUGGUUGCUUUAAGUUAUCACAAAAUAAAUCUCAAAUUUCAGAGCUGGACGACCAUGCAGUUCACUCCACUAACCAGUAUAUCCACAUAAAAUAAAUGACUGCUAAACAACAAAUCACAGGACAGGGGAUGUGUACAUUAGGCAAGUUGGAACUUCUGAAUGAAGGAGAAAAUUCUCAGAGGACUUAGGGGGUCAGUGAAGGACUGAGAAGCAAUUCAGUCAUUCUGUCAAUAGGCACACCGUAACUCUUUGUAGCCUUUGCAUAUUCAACAGAAUGAACCUGCCCAGGGUCUACAAAAAUAUUUGAGAGCAAUACUAACAACCAAGGGAAGAAGGUACUAGUGAAUAUGUGGAGAAAGAUCUUAAUCUGGAGAAGGACAACCUAGAUUACAUACAAACACACAUAUAUAUGUGUGAAUAUUCAGUCUAUGUUUACAAUAAAAUGUAAG